UACGUAGGCAGCGAGCGUUUGUUCGGAGUUACUGGGCGUAAAGAGUGCGUAGGCGGUUUUCUAAGUUUGGUGUGAAAUCUCCCCGCUUAACUGGGAGGGUGCGCCGAAAACUGGAAGGCUGGAGUAUGGGAGAGGUAAGCGGAAUUCCUGGUGUAGCGGUGAAAUGCGUAGAUAUCAGGAGGAACACCGGUGGCGAAGGCGGGUCUCUGGGCCGAUAUUGACGCUGAGGAGCGAAAGCGUGGGGAGCGAACAGG
rnacentral:rRNA from 1 species